GUCCUCCCCCUUCUCCUCGCCUUUCCCUCCGCCCCACUCCCGGAUUAAAUUCCGGAAGAGUCCCGGAACUUGCCUGGGGUCCUGCAGGCGGUCCCUAUCCCAUCUGCUUUCUCUGUUAUUCUAAUCGAGUCUUGGGGACACCCUCUGUCAACUGCCGAGAGCUAUGCAUAUGACCGGGGUUGGUAUUGUUAUUACUAAGAGACGCUCGGUUUCGAAAUCGCUUUGCAUUUUCUUGCACCAAAUCUUGGCGGUUCCCGUGCCUGGAAGCCUCGGCCGCGUGGGACUUUUUUCCUCCCUGUGAUUUGAGAAGUGGAAGCCCACUCUUGCUCUCCUGCUCGGGAAGAGGGUGGUUUGAGACGGGAAACCAGGACUGUGUCACUGCAGAAAGCCGGGAGCAAGACACGCCCCAGAGCUGGUUUAACCUGUUGUGACCAGACUGGCUGAAUUAACCAUCGCUCAACUGGACACAUGACCACUCCAUUCCUAUGCAGGACUUUCAUCCGACAAACAUUUUCUCCCCUCCUUUGUCCAUCCCACUGGGAAGCAUCAACUGGCUACUCCUCCUCCAUCCUGACUCUGCCCCCAUCACCUGUCUGCCUCUCCCUCCUCCACCUCACCUAGUCAGUCCCUUGGAUCCUCCCCAAGCCCCACUGCUUAGCUCAGGCUCAUCAGAGCGCACCUGAACUGCAGCAGCCUCCUCCCCAUCUACCCAUCUACCCCAGCUCCAUUCCCCAUAAAAGCAGGUCUCAGCUUGCCACUUCUCUGCUGCUAAUCCUCUGUUUUGCAUCAGAGGCCAAGGCCCAGCCCUCAGGGACGAACGAGCAGGACAAACCAGGGUGCCUGAAUAAAACAUGCCUCUUCCAGUCAGUCACCCAGGAGAAACUUACUCAUCCCAAGAGGGGAGGCGGGGAAGAAGCUCCAGGGAGGUUUCUGGCUCAGCCAACUCUCAUCAACCAAGCUUGCAGGAUAUUAGUUCUACAACCGGGGAUCAAAACUCAGCAGUGGAUGUGCAGAGCCCUGACCGCUGGACUCCCAGGGAAUUCCCUAAAACUAGGGGAUUUUUCUACCCUAGUGCUCCAAGAGAGAUGGUGAUAAGCAUAUUGCAUAGCCCUGCUCCUUCCAGACCUCAGUUUUCCGUCUAUACAAUGGCAGUCUCAGGGACUUCAAGGAGAUCAAUCCAGUCAAUCCUGAAAGAAAUCAACCCUGAAUAUUCGUUGGAAGGACUGAUGCUGAAGCUGAAGCUGCAGUACUUUGACUAUGUGAUUUGAUGAGACGAUUCAUUGGAAAAGACCCUAAUGCUGGGGAAGACGGAGGGCAGGAGGAAAAGGGGGUGACAGAGGAUGAGAUGGUUGGAUAGCAUCACCAACUCAGUGGACUCAAUGAAUUUGAGCAAACUCCAGGAGAUAGUGGAGGCCAGAGGAGCCUGGCAUGCUGCAGGUCCAUGAGGUCGCAAAAAAUCAGACACGACUUACCAACUGAACAACAACAGUGGAAGUUUGAGACCAGGUUUCUGCAUUAUUUCUUAAUCUUACAACUAACCAACCAAACCAGUACCGAUGUAGUGGCCAUAAGAUGACCUUUGAUGGGCUGGGGAAGGGAUGGUAUAAAAUGGCAUUAAUGAAUGAGCAAAGUCUGGGAGAUAGUGGAGGACAGGGAAGCUGGGUGUGCUGCAGUCAUUGGGGUUACAAAGAGUUGGACAUAAUAACUAAACAACAACAACAAUAAAAGUAGGAGGUACUACCAUCGAUUGAUGAACAGGAUCACUCCUGUGGCUUUGGAGCAAGUGAUCAUGGGAAAGCUGCAUCUGCCUGCGUUGGGGACACCUGUCUCUCCUGCAAAUCAGUUCUCUAGGGCUUGGCAGCUUCUUCCCUCCCAUCACCUAUCUGCUUCUCCCAUCACCUCUCUGCCCGCCUGCCUCUAUCCCUGAGGCCCUCAGGGAGGAGCUGGCCCAGGGGAGGAGCUAGAGACAGCGGUGGAACAAGUUCUAUGGGGCAGAGGGAAGGCGCCUACCUCCCUAUUUAUUAACUGAGGUCCUGGCCUCCCUCCGGCCCUGAUCUAGGCAGGUCAGGCUCUGAAUUGCCUGCAUGCUCCUCCCCACUUCCCUGUGCCCAUUCAAAAGAGGCAGCUCUCAUAGAUGCUGGAG